AUUGAACGCUGGCGGCAGGCCUAACACAUGCAAGUCGAGCGGAUGAAGGGAGCUUGCUCCUGGAUUCAGCGGCGGACGGGUGAGUAAUGCCUAGGAAUCUGCCUGGUAGUGGGGGAUAACGUCCGGAAACGGGCGCUAAUGCCGCAUACGUCCUGAGGGAGAAAGUGGGGGAUCUUCGGACCUCACGCUAUCAGAUGAGCCUAGGUCGGAUUAGCUAGUUGGUGGGGUAAAGGCCUACCAAGGCGGCGAUCCGUAACUGGUCUGAGAGGAUGAUCAGUCACACUGGAACUGAGACACGGUCCAGACUCCUACGGGAGGCAGCAGUGGGGAAUAUUGGACAAUGGGCGAAAGCCUGAUCCAGCCAUGCCGCGUGUGUGAAGAAGGUCUUCGGAUUGUAAAGCACUUUAAGUUGGGAGGAAGGGCAGUAAGUUAAUACCUUGCUGUUUUGACGUUACCAACAGAAUAAGCACCGGCUAACUUCGUG
rnacentral:rRNA from 1 species